rnacentral:rRNA from 1 species
UUUGAUCCUGGCUCAGGAUGAACGCUGGCUACAGGCUUAACACAUGCAAGUCGAGGGGAAAACGACGGGGAAGCUUGCUUCCCCGGGCGUCGACCGGCGCACGGGUGAGUAACGCGUAUCCAACCUGCCUCUGACUGAGGGAUAACCCGUCGAAAGUCGGCCUAAUACCUCAUGGCAUCGUCUGCGGGCAUCCAACGACGAUUAAAGAUUUCAUCGGUCAGGGAUGGGGAUGCGUCUGAUUAGCUUGUUGGCGGGGUAACGGCCCACCAAGGCUACGAUCAGUAGGGGUUCUGAGAGGAAGGUCCCCCACAUUGGAACUGAGACACGGUCCAAACUCCUACGGGAGGCAGCAGUGAGGAAUAUUGGUCAAUGGGCGGGAGCCUGAACCAGCCAAGUAGCGUGCAGGAUGACGGCCCUAUGGGUUGUAAACUGCUUUUAUGCGGGGAUAAAGUGAGGGACGUGUCCUUCAUUGCAGGUACCGCAUGAAUAAGGACCGGCUAAUUCCGUGCCAGCAGCCGCGGUAAUACGGAAGGUCCGGGCGUUAUCCGGAUUUAUUGGGUCUAAAGGGGGCGUAGGCCGUGGAUUAAGCGUGUUGUGAAAUGCAGGUGCUCAACGUCUGCACUGCAGCGCGAACUGGUCCACUUGAGUGUGCACAACGCAGGCGGAAUUCGUCGUGUAGCGGUGAAAUGCUUAGAUAUGACGAAGAACUCCGAUUGCGAAGGCAGCUUGCGGGAGCACAACUGACGCUGAAGCUCGAAAGUGCGGGUAUCGAACAGGAUUAGAUACCCUGGUAGUCCGCACGGUAAACGAUGGAUGCCCGUUGUCAGGCUGUUUCAGCCUGGUGACCAAGCGAAAGCAUUAAGCAUCCCACCUGGGGAGUACGCCGGCAACGGUGAAACUCAAAGGAAUUGACGGGGGCCCGCACAAGCGGUGGAACAUGUGGUUUAAUUCGAUGAUACGCGAGGAACCUUACCCGGGCUUGAAUUGCAGACGAACGAUUCAGAGAUGAUGAGGCCCUUCGGGGCGUCUGUGAAGGUGCUGCAUGGUUGUCGUCAGCUCGUGCCGUGAGGUGUCGGCUUAAGUGCCAUAACGAGCGCAACCCCUUUCUUCAGUUGCCAUCAGGUGAUGCUGGGCACUCUGUAGAUACUGCCACCGCAAGGUGUGAGGAAGGUGGGGAUGACGUCAAAUCAGCACGGCCCUUACGUCCGGGGCUACACACGUGUUACGAUGGCCGGUACAGAGAGUUGAUUUUGUGCAAACGCGAAUCUAAUCCUUAAAUCCGGUCCCGGUUUCGGACUGGGGUUCUGCGAACCCGCCCCCCGCGAAAGCUGGAUUUCGCUAGUGAUUCGCGCGCUCAGCCGUGGCGCGGUAAAGACGUUUCCCGGGCCCUUGGCGCACC